UACGUAGGGAGCAAGCGUUGUCCGGAAUCAUUGGGCGUAAAGAGCGUGUAGGCGGCCCGAUAAGUCCGCCGUGAAAGUCCAGGGCUCAACCCUGGAAUGCCGGUGGAAACUGUCGGGCUGGAGUCCGGAAGAGGCGAGUGGAAUUCCUGGUGUAGCGGUGAAAUGCGCAGAUAUCAGGAGGAACACCUAUUGCGAAGGCAGCUCGCUGGGACGUAACUGACGCUGAGACGCGAAAGCGUGGGGAGCAAACAGG
rnacentral:rRNA from 1 species